CAUAACAGUCAAAAAAAAAAAAAAAAGAGAGAGAGGCGACGGCGAUGGCGAUAUUUUCUUAGGAUUCUGAUGGAUUUUCGAAAUUGGGAUCCGGGGAAUCGAUGGGGAUCAGGAGACUACGAUCGGAUUGGGCAUCUUUAUUCAUCGGGAAUCAAAGGGAUACGGAAGAUUCAUGGAGAUGCCAAAGGAAAAGAUCAGUUAUUGGAUCUUGUUGAGGGAUUUACGACUGAGGAGCCCUAUAUCAAAGGAUCUGUAUGGUUCGAAUACCGGGUUACGAUUAUCUAUGAUAAUAUCAUUUCAGAUCUUGGAUUUGGUCAUCAUCAAGACGAAAUUGCGAGAUAGCGAAGGGUCAACUAAUUGGUAAUUCCGGGGACAUGAAAAGCGGUGAGGGCAUCUUAAUUUUUAUGGAUCAAGACCUUCUAGUAGUGAGAUCAAGUCAGCAGGUUAUGGCUUCGGGUAUUGGGGUUUUAACAGUUUUAAUAAGCUCUAUGAGCAUCUUUCUUUCUUCUGGUUUUAAAGUCAUUAUGGGUCUCGGUCUGGUUCUGUUUUUAUGGUUGUUAGCAAUGUUACUUUUCAUGUUUAAGCAAUGGAAUAAGGUGUUAUGGACUGUUGGUACUGGUAUUUUCUUCAGCUGAUAGGUAUCCUUUUAUUAUAUA